rnacentral:rRNA from 1 species
UAGGGAGCGAGCGUUGUCCGGAAUUACUGGGUGUAAAGGGAGCGUAGGCGGGAUCGCAAGUCAGAUGUGAAAUACAUAGGCUUAACCUAUGGGCUGCAUUUGAAACUGUGGUUCUUGAGUGAAGUAGAGGUAAGCGGAAUUCCUGGUGUAGCGGUGAAAUGCGUAGAUAUCAGGAGGAACACCGGUGGCGAAGGCGGCUUACUGGGCUUUAACUGACGCUGAGGCUCGAAAGCGUGGGUAGCAAA